rnacentral:rRNA from 1 species
GACGAACGCUGGCGGCGUGCCUAAUACAUGCAAGUAGAACGCUGAAGAGAGGAGCUUGCUCUUCUUGGCUGAGUUGCGAACGGGUGAGUAACGCGUAGGUAACCUGCCUGGUAGCGGGGGAUAACUAUUGGAAACGAUAGCUAAUACCGCAUAAAAUUGAUUAUUGCAUGAUAAUUAAUUGAAAGAUGCAACUGCAUCACUACCAGAUGGACCUGCGUUGUAUUAGCUAGUUGGUGAGGUAACGGCUCACCAAGGCGACGAUACAUAGCCGACCUGAGAGGGUGAUCGGCCACACUGGGACUGAGACACGGCCCAGACUCCUACGGGAGGCAGCAGUAGGGAAUCUUCGGCAAUGGGGGGAACCCUGACCGAGCAACGCCGCGUGAGUGAAGAAGGUUUUCGGAUCGUAAAGCUCUGUUGUAAGAGAAGAACGGGUGUGAGAGUGGAAAGUUCACAUUGUGACGGUAUCUUACCAGAAAGGGACGGCUAACUACGUG